UCAGUAUCCCUGAAGAAGUGACUGACAGACGAGUACAUGGCUUAUAUUUAUCUUAGGAAAAAUAUUGAGGUUGGCGCAAGCAGGGAGACAGCAGAGUCACAGUGAUCCUCAGGAAGGCAAAAGGGCAAGGCUCUGUGCAUCGGGUGAAUGACAGACCUGAAGUUAAGCAAACCAAGUUAGAAGUCUCAAAACCAUUGUCUCGUGGUCUGGGAGGUGCUCUGAUGCCAACAUGCUUUGGGUACUGGCUGCAUGGAAGGCAGAUGCCUUUUAUCCAAAAAAAAAAGGAGUGUUCUCCAUAGGAAAUGUUUGUGUACAUACUGCAACACCAAUUUCAGAAAAUAGAUUACCUCUGAGGAAACCAUCUGUUUCUGCAUCCCGUGAACUUUCAGUGGGAACUGAUCCUGGAUACACCCAGACUAGCAAUAUGGCAUACUUCAGCAACGCAGGAAAAUAAGCUUUCAGCAGCUGACCUGCAGAUGUGAUGAAGUCUCUGUCGCCUGGGAUCUUUAAAUCAAGACUUAACAUCUUCUAGAGGGUAUGCUACAGCACAGAGAGGACUUGCAGGCAUGCCUGCAGUAUAGAUAUUGCUGGAAGAGGUUCUGCAAUCUCGUUAACAAAUGCUGUAUAGAUAAAUUAGCACAGUCAUUGCUUCAAGCCUUAAAAAUCUAUUAAUACUCUCAAUACCUGGUUUUUGAAAUAAUCAUGCCAUCCUCUUGCAAACCACAUGCCUGAAACUGUGGUCAGACUAUGGGUUAAUUACGCCUGCGAACAGGUCUGGAUUGUACAGCUGAGAAAUCCGAGGCAACAAAACCUUAAUUGGCUUUUCCAAGGGCAUCCAGCUAAUCACUGGGAACGCCAGGCACUGAGCCCAGGGGAGAGGUGCUUCCUCCACUCCCUGCAUUUCCCUCUUCCAACCACUGAUAACAGCAGCAGUAUGGGCUGAGAUCGACUGCAGAGCGUGGACUUGACUCAGCAUCAUCUGGUUCUGUGCUGAGGGAGGCAUCUCCCAGCCACGGUCUCCCUGUUGAUGUGUCCAGCUCCUGACACAAGUAUGUCAUCACCCCAUCCCUGAACUCGUGUGCUGAUGGGCAGCCUUUUGUUUGGACUCCCUUAAAAGUCACAUCCUGGAUCCUUUAGCUUCAAUUCUAGCAGUUGAACGGACCUGCCAUCUCAUCCUGCCUCUUCUGACCAUCUGAUUCCUUGUGUUAAAGAUUGGUCGAUUCAUUUCCCAGAUCCACUCAGUCAUCAAAGAUUAAGCAGCCCUUGGUUUAUCUAUUAAAGGCAGGCAAUUAGUUCCCUCAUGCUGACUCUCAGUGAGAGUUGGGGACACGAUGACUUUGUCCAUGAAACUCCUACAAGAGUAGGAGCACGAUGGCUUCCUACAGAUCCACGGCGGUCACCCACCGUGGAGAAAAACUGAUUUCUUUCCAGCAUGCAAACAGCUGAUUGAACAUCCCCAAGGGCCUUCCAAACCAAUCUGAAAAAAAGAAUCUGGGGGAAAAAGCUGCAAGGUUGGCAAACAUUGCCGCAGCCACGGCUGGUGCCCGGGAAAGGACAGUGCUGGGAGCUCAGCUAAUGCACGUCGCCUCUGCCUCGCAAAGCCAGCAGAGGAGAAAAUGUCAGAGAAUUGGCCUGUCAAAAUGACGAAGCUGAAAAAGCAAGAGCAGUGCAGAAAUUCAAGCUGUCGACAAAAUGCUUGAAGCAGCCUGCUGGGACCAGAGCCCAUGGAUGUGCUGAGAUGCAGGGGGGAGAAACCACUGGCCCCAUUCCACAGCACUGCUCCUGGGCUGGUCACGACCAUCCCUUCCAUACACCUAGGGGCUCUGGGGGGUUAUUUUCUUUUGAUUUUUUUUUUCCAUUUGGUUUUGGAGUGUUUUUGUAUGUGUGUUUAGCCUAUCUGUUUUUCCCAGUCUGAUUGUUAAAUUCUGGCUUUAAACUCUAGUUAGCUCAUGCAAUUGAUUCAUCUGCAGACCAUUCCUCAGCUCAUUGCCACGCACCCACCUGAAGCACCCACUCUUUGUCCUUGGUAGUUUACUCUUCUUUUUUCAAACAGACUCGCCAUUAGCACCUGCUCAGUCAUCACUUAACCAACAUAGGUAGCUCUACCACAUCUGUCACCAUAAAUCACAGCCUCCAGACUGGGAUAUUUUUCACUCCCCUUCUAUGAGCUCUUCCCUGUUUACCAAUAUCUUCCUGGGACUGGGUUUUAACCAUAUCCUAAGGCCCACUGCAGUAGCCUCUGGGGAGGCUUUGAAAUUAUAUUCCCAAUGGCUUGAAAAAACAAAACUUGAGGCUGUG